GUGCCAGCAGCCGCGGUAAUUCCAGCUCCAAUAGCGUAUAUUAAAGUUGUUGUGGUUAAAAAGCUCGUAGUUGAACCUUGGGCCUGGCUGGCCGGUCCGCCUCACCGCGUGCACUGGUCCGGCCGGGCCUUUCCCUCUGUGGAACCCCAUACCCUUCACUGGGCGUGGCGGGGAAACAGGACAUUUACUUUGAAAAAAUUAGAGUGCUCCAGGCAGGCCUAUGCUCGAAUACAUUAGCAUGGAAUAAUAAAAUAGGACGCGCGGUUCUAUUUUGUUGGUUUAUAGGACCGCCGUAAUGAUUAAUAGGGACAGUCGGGGGCAUCAGUAUUCAACUGUCAGAGGUGAAAUUCUUGGAUCAGUUGAAGACUAACUACUGCGAAAGCAUUUGCCAAGGAUGUUUUCAUUAAUCAGGAACGAAAGUUAGGGGAUCGAAGACGAUCAGAUACCGUCGUAGUCUUAACCAUAAACUAUGCCGACUAGGGAUCGGACGGUGUUAUUCAUGACCCGUUCGGCACCUUACGAGAAAUCAAAGUGCUUGGGCUCCAGGGGGAGUAUGGUCGCAAGGCUGAAACUUAAAGAAAUUGACGGAAGGGCACCACCAGGGGUGGAGCCUGCGGCUUAAUUUGACUCAACACGGGGAAACUCACCAGGUCCAGACACAAUAAGGAUUGACAGAUUGAGAGCUCUUUCUUGAUUUUGUGGUGGUGGUGCAUGGCCGUUCUUAGUUGGUGGGGUGACUUGUCUGCUUAAUUGCGAUAACGAACGAGACCUUAACCUGCUAAUAGCCCGCAUUGCUCCGGCAGUGCGCUGGCUCUAGAGGGACUUUCGGCUCAAGCCGAAGAAGUUGAGGCAAUACAGUCUUUGAUGCCUAGAUGUUCUGGGCCGCACGCGCGCUACACUGACGGGUCAGCGGAGUUCCUUGA
rnacentral:rRNA from 1 species